GAUGAACGCUGGCGGCGUGCCUAAUACAUGCAAGUCGAGCGAACAGAUAAGGAGCUUGCUCCUUUGACGUUAGCGGCGGACGGGUGAGUAACACGUGGAUAACCUACCUAUAAGACUGGGAUAACUUCGGGAAACCGGAGCUAAUACCGGAUAACAUAUUGAACCGCAUGGUUCAAUAGUGAAAGGCGGCUUUGCUGUCACUUAUAGAUGGAUCCGCGCCGUAUUAGCUAGUUGGUAAGGUAACGGCUUACCAAGGCAACGAUACGUAGCCGACCUGAGAGGGGGAUCGGCCACACUGGAACAGAGACACGGUCCAGACGCCUACGGGAGGCAGCAGUAGGGAAUCUUCCGCAAUGGGCGAAAGCCUGACGGAGCAACGCCGCGUGAGUGAUGAAGGUCUUCGGAUCGUAAAACUCUGUUAUCAGGGAAGAACAAAUGUGUAAGUAACUGUGCACAUCUUGACGGUACCUGAUCAGAAAGCCACGGCUAACUACGUGCCAGCCGCCGCCGUAAGAC
rnacentral:rRNA from 1 species